rnacentral:rRNA from 1 species
UACGUAGGGGGCGAGCGUUGUCCGGAAUCAUUGGGCGUAAAGCGCGUGUAGGCGGCUUGGUAAGUCCGGUGUGAAACCUUGGGGCUCAACCCCAAGCCUGCACUGGAUACUGCCUCGCUUGAGUCCGGGAGGGGAGAGCGGAAUUCCUAGUGUAGCGGUGAAAUGCGCAGAUAUUAGGAAGAAUACCGGUGGCGAAGGCGGCUCUCUGGAACGGUACUGACGCUGAGACGCGAAAGCGUGGGGAGCGAACAGG